GUGUGGAUUGAAUUAUGGCAAGCCUAUUCCCCUGGUCCUCUCAUAAUGUCAUAUGUCAAAGCAAAUCAUGACCUUAGCCCAGUAUAUAGCCUCUGUGUCUGUAGGUUGCUAACACUGAUGUGAGUUGUGCAGUG